GAUGAACGCUGACAGAAUGCUUAACACAUGCAAGUCAACUUGAACUUCGGUGUGUUUGGCGGACGGGUGAGUAACGCGUAAAGAACUUGCCUCACAGAUAGGGACAACAUUUGUAAACGUAUGCUAAUACCUGAUAUUAUGAUUAUAUGUCAUCGUAUAAUUAUGAAAGCUAUAUGCGCUGUGAGAGAGCUUUGCGUCCCAUUAGCUAGUUGGAGGGGUAACGGCUCACCAAGGCGAUGAUGGGUAGCCGGCCUGAGAGGGUGCUCGGCAAAAAGGGAACUGAGACACGGCCAUUACUCCUACGGGAGGAAGCAGUGGGGAAUAUUGGACAAUGGACCAAGAGUCUGAUCGAGAAAUUCUGUGUGGAAGAUGAAGUUUUUCGGAAUGUAAAGUGUUUUCAGUUGGGAAGAAAAAAAUGACGGUACCAACAGAAGAAGUGACGGCUAAAUACGUG
rnacentral:rRNA from 1 species